rnacentral:rRNA from 1 species
AUGGAGUCGACCGAGGAGGAGGGCGGCCACUUCCUGCCGCCGAGGAUGGCCGCCACCACCAUGGCAGUUUCCAAGACGGCCAUCGAGCGCCGCUGCUCGACGGAUGGCUCGGACGGCCCCAGGCGCCUCUCGCCCGAGGAGGACGCCGAGCUCCCAGCCCCUCUCAACCUCUCCCGCGGCAAGGACGCGGACGGCGACGACUACGGCGCUGGGCUCUUCAAUGGAGGCCGCUCCGACUUGCCAGCUGGCGAGAUGGGUGGCAAGGGCAAAAGUUUGGCGAGCUGUUCCUGUGUCUCAAGACGCGGCCCCGAUAGGGUUGCUGCUCCGAAACGCGAGCCGCCUUCUUUCAAAGGGAAGAUGAUUCCGUGGCCUGAAGCUCGAGAAGAUAUGCCAGAGAGAAUGCGGAAAAGUGUGACAACACCCGGGUGUCCCGGCACCCGGUUAUCCUGUUCGUCCGUCGAAUUCAAGAUGAGAAUGGAUUUUUAG